UGUGUAGGCGGUUCUCUAAGUUUGGUGUGAAAUCUCCCGGCUCAACCGGGAGGGUGCGCCGAAAACUGGAGGACUGGAGUGCGGGAGAGGAGAGUGGAAUUCCUGGUGUAGCGGUGAAAUGCGUAGAUAUCAGGAGGAACACCGGCGGUGUAGACGGCUCUCUGGACCGUAACUGACGCUGAGACACGAAAGCGUGGGGAGCAAACA
rnacentral:rRNA from 1 species